CUGAAGUGGACUCACGAGGUCCAGAGUGACAGUUUCCUCAGUUCACUAGUGGUUCUGAAGUGGACUCACGAGGUCCAGAGUGACAGUUUCCUCAGUUCACUAGUGGUUCUGAAGUGGACUCACGAGGUCCAGAGUGACAGUUUCCUCAGUUCACUAGUGGUUCUGAAGUGGACUCACGAGGUCCAGAGUGACAGUUUCCUCAGUUCACUAGUGGUUCUGAAGUGGACUCACGAGGUCCAGAGUGACAGUUUCCUCAGUUCACUAGUGGUUCUGAAGUGGACUCACGAGGUCCAGAGUGACAGUUUCCUCAGUUCACUAGUGGUUCUGAAGUGGACUCACGAGGUCCAGAGUGACAGUUUCCUCAGUUCACUAGUGGUUCUGAAGUGGACUCACGAGGUCCAGAGUGACAGUUUCCUCAGGUCACUAGUGGUUCUGAAGUGGACUCACGAGGUCCAGAGUGACAGUUUCCUCA